UUUUUUUUUGUAUUUUUAAAUGAUAAAGGAAUAUUUAAUGGAACAAAUAAAAAAAUAAAAACAAACAAAAUAAAAAGAAGAGCACAAUUUAAUUGUUUGUGACCUACGAAUAACUAUAUGCGUCCGACUAGUGUGCAAAUGGGUAUCAAUAUUAUUUUGGAAGGGGAAAAAGUAAUUUGCAUGCGAAUGACAUGUAAUUGUAUGUGAUAUGUAAUUGUGUUCGAUCAAGGACAUGCAAUUGCAUGUGGCUGACAUGUGUGCAACUAGGUAGACGAAGAAAGCAACUCAUGUGGCCGACGUGUGUGCCACCUAAUGGCAAAUAUUGAAAAAAGAAAAAACAAUUAAGUUUGAUGGUAAAUAUUUAAAAUACGGAUUUGAAUCUUCCCUCAUCCCUCACAAAACAACAAAGAGUUGCACUCUCUUUGAAGACAUGCAAUUAUAGUCUAGCGACACUUGCACUUGCGUGCAUAGUAGCAACUGCAAUUGCCUUCCUUCACCCGGACAAAACGGUACUAAGUUGGAGUUGCAAUCAGGAGACGCAUAUGCAAUUGCGUAACUAUUGGAAGACAUGCACUUACAGUCGGGACGAAGCUUGCAGUUGUGUGCCUACUAGCAUACUCCCUUCACAACAACAUUAAAAAUGUGUCCGAGGAUCUGGACAAGUAACUCUUCUCUCCUUUAAUAUGAUCCUUUUUAUGAGAAAAUGAGCGCUGUUGUCAGAAUCAGACACAAAAAAAAAUAUUUUUUUCUUUCUUCAUCCUUGGAAAAACAAAAAAAUGCAAAAGAAGAAAAGGAAAAAAAUUGUAUGAUUUCAAAAAAUAAGAAAAAAAACACAAACUGGUUGUGAGACCGGGUGCUUGAUUUGUGUUUGCAGGCAUGGCAGAAAAUGUGGGUGUNNNNNNNNNNNNNNNNNNNNNNNNNNNNNNNNNNNNNNNNNNNNNNNNNNNNNNNNNNNNNNNNNNNNNNNNNNNNNNNNNNNNNNNNNNNNNNNNNNNNNNNNNNNNNNNNNNNNNNNNNNNNNNNNNNNNNNNNNNNNNNNNNNNNNNNNNNNNNNNNNNNNNNNNNNNNNNNNNNNNNNNNNNNNNNNNNNNNNNNNNNNNNNNNNNNNNNNNNNNNNNNNNNNNNNNNNNNNNNNNNNNNNNNNNNNNNNNNNNNNNNNNNNNNNNNNNNNACCAAGCAAAAAAGUCUAGUUGCGAAAAAUGUUUGUAAAAAGACAUGUAGUUAUACUCCAAGGGAAAGCGAUUGCAAUUGCAUGACUAGUUGUCCUCCUCUCUCUUGCCGCCGCCCCUUCGACAAAACAAAGGCGCCUAGUUGCAACUAAGUUAGAAGACACUAAGUUACGACCAUGCUAGAAGACAUGCGGUUGCAUGAGUAUAGUUGGACAUGCAGCUGGACACCUCUCUCUCGUUGCCGCCCCCUCCGACGAAAUAAGGGCCCCCCUAAGUUGCGACCAAGUUACAAGGCAUGCAGUUGCAUGCCCAUUAUGGGACAUGCAACUGGCCCCAUCUCUCUCGACGGCGUCCCCUCCGACCAAACAAGAGUCCAUCCCAGUUGCGACCAUGGUCUAAGACAUGUAGUUGCGUGCCUAGUGUGGGACAUGCAACUGGUGCCUCUCCCCGUACAGCAAAAAAUGGAAGUUGAGUUGCAACCAAGUUAUAAGACAUGCAGUUGCAACCAAGUUAUAAGACAUGCAGUUGCAACCAAGUUAUAAGACAUGCAGUUGUGUGCCUAGUGUGGGGCAUGCAACUGGGCCCCAUCUCUCUCGAUGUUGUCCCCUCUGACAAAACAAAGGUCACCCAGUUGCGACCAAUUUAGAAGACAUGGAGUUGUGUGCCCAUUGUGGGACAUGCAAACUGGCGCCUCUCCCCGCACAACAAAAAUGGAAGUCGAGUUGCAACCAGAUUAUAGGACAUGCGGUUGCGUGCCUAGUGUGGGACAUGUAACUGGUGCCUCUCCCCGUACAACAAAAAAUGAAAGUUGAGUUGCAACCAAGUUAUAAGACAUGUAGUUGUGAGUUGUGACGAUGCUCAAAGACAUGCAGUUGCGUGCCCGUUGUGGGACAUACACCUGGCGCCUCUCCCCGUACAACAAAAAUGGAAGUCGAGUUGCAACCAAGUUAUAAGAUAUGCAGUUGCGACCAAGUUAGAAGACAUGCAGUUGCAUGGCUGGUGUGGGGCAUGCAACUGGGCCCCAUCUCUCUCGACGCUGCCCCCUCCGAAAAAACAAGGAUCCGACAAAACAAAUGUCCUCCCAGUUGCGAUCAAGUUAGAAGAGAUGGAGUUGCAUGCCCAUUGUGGGACAUGCAACUGGCGCCUCUCUCCACACAACAAAAAUGGAAGUCGUGUUGCAACCACGCUAUAAGACAUGCAGUUGCGACCAAGUCAGAAGAUAUGCAGUUGCACACCUAGUGUGGGACAUGCAAUUGGGCCCCAUCUCUCUCUACGUCGUCCCCUCCGACAAAACAAAGACCCCCUAGUUGAUACCAAGUUAGAAGACAUGGAGUUGCGUUCCCAUUGUGGCAUAUGCAACUGGCGCCUCUCCCCGCACAACAAAAAUGGAAGUCAAAUUGCAAACAAGUUAUAAGACAUGCAGUUGCACGCCUAGGACAUGCAACUGGGUCCCAUCUCUCUCGACGUAGCCCCCUUCGACAAAACAAAGGUCCCCUAGUUGAUACCAAGUUAUAAGACAUGCAGUUGCGUGCACAUUGUGGGACAUGCAACUAGCGCCUCUCCCCGCACAACAAAAAUGGAAGUCGAGUUGCAACCAAGUAAAGCAAACAAAAGGGCUAUACAAAUCCUAGUUAUGGCCCAAUAAUACAUUUGAGGGGAUUUGAGUUCAAAGAUAAGCUUCAAAAACAUGGAUCUGAUUUCACGAAAGUAAUAUUUCAGCAAAAUCAUAUUCUUCGACCUACUAAUGUCGAUUAGAAUAAAACAAAACAAGUGAAUUGAAUCACUCUUGCUAAUGACUUUAGUAAUGUGUAUGAGGGGAUAUGAGAGAAGCACUUCUUGAGACACCAAAAAAUAUCCCAGUAAAGAACAAUAUAAAUGAUAGCACUCACCAGAUUAAAAAAACAAAAAAAUGUGUCAAAAAAUAGAUAACUAGCAGAGUUUUAUAUCCUAAAAGACAAAAAAGAAUGUCAACUUAGCAAAAACCCUAAAUACACGUCUGUCUUGUCACCUACUCAUGAACAUAUGGUGUAAAAAAUGCACUAUACUCUCUGUACAGAGGGGGUGUAAAAAUGUAUCUAUAAGUACGCACAAACAUAAAAAAAGGUGUUGAUAAAAAACUACUUGCUGUACAAUUCAACGGAGAAACACACUUCAUCUUCAGUCUCUUGACCUACUAAAAAAAAUUUAGUACUACUAGUUGCAAAACAAUCUUUACUGGAAAGAACCUCAAAAUAAAUAGCAAUAAAAGGGAAAAAUCUGAAUGACACUUGACAGUGGCACAUAAAAGCGGAGCUUUAUUUAUCGAGAUAAGUGAAUCUACCUACAAGCAAAGAAACAAGUUUCAUCAUCAAAAAAUCCACCACACCAACAUUGCCGAUAGACACGCAUGAGCGAGAGACACUAUUGUGCAUGAACGCACAAAAAAUUAAACCUAAAAAAAUAAGGUCUAAACUAUGGGGGCGAUUCUCUGCUUGAAACUACUAAUCACAUAUUUGAUACAAACAAAAAAGAAGGCGUUGGGGGGGAGGGGGGGGGAGUAUGGACAUACAAAAUCCUAACUACUCUACUGGAUACAUGGGCACAGUGACAAACUGCUACGGUGCAGCAGACAUGCAAUUGGCAUCAGUCCCAGGACAAGACCUCACGUUGCUUACUCACACAGCGCUACAAUUAUAUCAGAAUAAUUUCAGAAUAAGAAGCAAAAGAACUAAACUAACUGAAAUUAAACACUAAAAAGUGCAGUUAACUUGGCGUUUUCCUCUUCUUAAUCAUCACGGGGUGGCCGCUUCCCCUUCCUCACUCUUUAAUGCAGCCCCAAAACAAACACAGAAAAUAAAAACGACCCGCACCAAAACACAGCCCAGCCCCAGCCCAUCAGCAGCGCUCGCGUACCGGGAUUACCAGUUCGACGGGGAAAAACAAAAGCGGGCCUGCCCACGCCUUAACAGGCCGAAACAAGGGACAAAAGUGACCCAGCACGAAUCUACAAGGUGCUACAGAUCGGACGGCUAGCCAGUCGACUGAGACUUCGCGACUGAUUUUUAGCAGCGCCGAUAUACUAUAUACAAUCCAAAGUUCCAAACGAGAAGCUAUGCGACACGUGAAUUGUUUGGUCCGUAGCUACAAGUCGACAUUAGUGAUGGGCCCCUCGAACCAGAACCUCGCGCUGACCACCCACGCGCCGACGCUGAGCAGCAACACGCCGCCGACGGCCACCGGCGUGUAGUUGAAGUUGUCCUUGGCCACCGGGUACGCCACCGGCAGCGAGAAGAGCACGGUGAGGAAGGCCACCCAGAGGACGGCGGCCCAGCCGACGGCGACCCCGUAUCUCCCGAGGUGGAACGGCCCCGGCACGAACGACCUCCUCGCCGUCGUCACCCGGAAGAAGAUGGGCAGCGCGUAGGCGAUGUACUGCCCCAGCGUCGCGAUCGACACCAUCGCCUGGAACGCCACCUGACUCCCCAGCGACUGCACGCACACACGUACCAAAAUCAGCUGUAAAAAUCAUGGUCGGGUGUCUGGAGAUUCAUGGCGGAGAUCGACGUUGCACGCACCGUGAGGGCCAUGACGAAGGCGACGACGACGGAGAGCCAGACGACGUUGAGGGGCACCUCGUUCUUGCUCACACGGAGCCACACCCGCGAGAGCGGCAUCGCCCUGUCCCUCGAGAAGGCGUACCCCAUCCUCGAGUUGCUGGCGAUGCACAUGGCGCCGGCGAAGAAGAUGCCGACGGCGACGACCCCGACGCAGACCAGCCCUCCCACGCCGCUGCCGUACCUCCUGUCGAAGGCGUCGUAUAGGGCCUGGGCGACGGCGUAGCCGCCGGCGUCGUUGUCCGGGCUGAGCAGGUACGGUAUGUCCGUCACGAUCGACGUCAGCGCCACCAGGAAGAUCCACCCGAACGUGGUCGAGAGGGCCACCGAGCUGAUGAUCCCCAUCGGCCCGCUCCAGUCCGCGUUCUUCGUCUCUUCAAUCUGCCAUGGUCGAUCUUUAGAUCUUCACGAAACUCCAUGGAAAUCUAGCUAGGAUGAGCAGCAGCGUACCAUGUGAGCGGACGCGUCGUAGCCGAGCAGAGAGUACUGGCUGGUGAGGAGGCCGAGGGCGAGAAUGUAGGCCUUGCCAUGGAUGCCCAUGCCGUUGUCGUCGUUGAAGUGCGUGAAGAUGAACUUGGCGCUGGCCCUCUCCUUGGCCACCGCCGGGAUGAGGAUCACCAGCGUGAACGCGCCCGCCGUGUUCCAGAACGCGCCGAGCUUGCCGCACCAGGACAGCCACCGGAUGGGGAGGCUGUUGAUGAGGCCGUGCAGGACGAGGAAGAAGCCGUGGAUGGCCAGCACGACGUACUUGGAGGCCGUGUACCCGCCGCCGUUGGCCCCGCCGGUGCCCAGCAAGACGAUCACCUGGACCAGCUGCGCCAGGGAGAAGUCCGUGCUCGUCGUAGCAGCCCACUAGGACAGUUAUAACACCGUCAGCAACGUGUCAAAACAGGAGGUGAUCACGAUGUACAAAUGCCAGCGGCGUACCUGUCCGACGAUGUUGAACCAGCCGGUGACCCAGGAGGCGAGGGGCGCCCACUCCCUGCCGGCGAGCUUGGCGCUCCAGUAGUAGAGCCCGCCGGAGGUCGGGUACGCGGAGCAGAUCUCCGCCAUGGACAGCGCGACGCAGCCGUUGAAGGCCGCCACCACCAGCCACCCGAGCGUCAUGGACGCCGGCCCGCCGUACCUCAGCCCGCUGUUGUAGGUGGUGGUGACGCCCGCCAUGACGGAGAUGAUGGAGAAGGAGAAGGCGAAGUUGGACAUGAGGCUGCGCACAGCCCAAGAAAAGCACCAGAAUCAAUCAAUCCAACGGAUAGAGCUGCGCGCAAACGCCGAUGAUACGAUGGCGAAGCAGAGCAGAGCAGGCGUGCGACGUACGAGAGGCCGCGCUUGAGCUCCUGCUUGUAGCCGAGCUUGUGCAGCCGCGCUCGGUCCGCGUCGUCGGUCGUGUCGCCGCCGCCGGCCACCCCCGCCGCACCGGAGCGUGACACGGCCAUCGAUCGUCUCUAGCUCUGUUUGCCAGCGAGUGAGCUCCUCGGUCUCCGGUGAGCAGGGAGUCAACAAGAGAGUGAGCGAGUGGCUUAGUGGAAACUGUCCGCGGCUUGGACCAUUCGGGCGAGGUCCCUUUCGGGUGACCCGCCAUUGUUGACGGCAAGGAGAUAAUUUAUGAUCACUUGUCACGUAGCGCAGCCACAUGGAAAAAUAUCGCCGGCCGCGCGCCAUUGUUUGUUUCUCAAAGAAAGAAGAUACGAGUUUGACUCUGAAUCUCUGAUGACCUGAUCGCCAUGACGGGGAGUGGUAGGAUAAUAUAACAUGAUCGUUUGAAAGGUUGAUCUUCCUCUGUCACGGUGAACGGUCCUCCGUCAUCUGGUUGGCCCCGGAUCUUGGACUUGGAUUGGGUAUUGCAUAUGUUUAUCUGAGAGAAAAAGGAUGUGGAGUGUUGAUUAGAUUUUGUGCCCCCGAAGAUUGGCACGGGUGAAGGUGACAGAGUACCCAGGUCAAAUAAUUUUGUCAUCGAGGUGUAUCUGUUGGAAGGAAUGAGUCGACGCAACGUGCCUUAAGCAUGGGUCUGUCUAGGACACAUCUAGAUGUGACAUAACUAUGUCACAUCUAAGCUGAUGUCCACUCUGUUUGUGGUCUAUUUUUUUUAUCCUAGUUUUUUUAUUUCUUGUUGCUAUAUUAUAUACUUGUAGGAACUUAGAUGUGACAUCCUUAAAAAACAUCUAGAUGUGAAUUAGACAAACUGCUUAAGCAUUGGCCAACGCCAGGCACUAGCGCCGGUGGACCGGUCUAAAUUUCGGCGGGUCGCCAUGCAACUGUUCGUGAGAGGCAUCCUCACACUGUUGGAUGCCUCUCCCCGCAUCAUCUCCAUCCUUCGGUUUGGUCAAUGUGGUCAGAAAUCCCCCUUGCAUGUUCUAUUGUUGACAUCUCUGCCCUGGCCCCCAUGCGUGUGCAAAAAUUGCCGUUUUUUGGUAAAUUUUAUCAUUGUCGAAUGUUGGUUUUCUAAACCAUUGACUAGAUACUUUUUGCAUGUCCAUAGAGUACACUAUGCCAAAUUGUCCCAACGACCAACCUACCUAAAGAGCUUCUUGGUAAUGCAGCUCCAUGUGUAAACUCAUCCACCACAUAUCAAAUAAACUAAAGUUUACAAGGCACAAAAUUCUACAUGUCAACAUUUACGAUGGGUCCUUUGAACCAGAACCGGGCAUGGAACACCCAUGAGCCGGCACUGAGCAGCAGCACACCACCGACGGCCACCGGCGUGUAGUUGAAGUUGUCCUUGGCGAUUGGGUACGCCACAGGCAAUGAGAAGAGCACGGUGAGCAAGGCCACCCAGAGGACUGCUGCCCAGCCGAUGACAAUACUGUACCUCCCUAGGUGGAAUGGCCCUGGGCUGAAUGACCUCCGGGCCGUCGUCACACGGAAGAAGAUGGGUAGCACGUAGGAGAUGUACUGCCCUAGUGUCGCAAUCGACACCAUUGCUUGGAAUGCCACCUGGCUUCCGAGAGACUACAUCCGAAGACAAGAAACACACACAAAAAUAGGAACGUCAAGUUUUAGGUGUGCUAGCAAGUCCUUGACACGAAUCAUGCGUUCAUGUUGUAAAGGUUUGGUGCUUCGAGUCGAGAUCGAGAUGGCAGAGGUAUUACGCAUCGUGAGAGCCAUUAUGAAGGCGACAACCACACAGAGCCACACAACAUUGAGAGGCACCUCGUUCCUGCUCACCCGGUGCCACACGUGCGAGAACGGCAUCGCCUUGUCCCUCGAGAAGGCAUAGCCCAUCCUAUAUGGAAAUGUGAUAGCAACUUAGCAAAUAGUCAUUAGGUUCCAAAUUAUUAUGGAUUUUUCAUAAUAAAUAAAACAUACAAAGUUUGACCAAGUUUAUCGAAAAAUAUCAACAACUACAAGACCAAAUUAGUUUCAUUAGAUUCAGCAUAAAAUAUGAUUUUGGUACUACAUAAAUUUGAUGUUGUACGAUAUAUACUAAUAUGACUUUUCUAUAGAAUUGAUAAAAUAUAGAGAAAAACUUGACUUUAAUAUCGAAUAAUUUGGAGCACAAGAAAUAUCAACACUAAUAUGUCAAUUGAUAUGUGGUGGUUGAAUCACUACCAAACCUUGAAUUACUGGUGACACAUGCAACACCCGCGAGGAAGAUGCCGAAUGCGACGAUGCCUAUGCAGACGAGCCCUCCGACCCCACUGCCAUACCUUUGGUGGAAGGCAGUGUAAAGCGCUUGCGCAGCGGCAUACCCGGCAGCAUCAUUGCGGGGGUCUAGUAGGUAUGGUAUGUUCGUCAUGAUGGAUGUUAGAGCCACAAGGAAGAUCCAACCAAACACGGUCGAGAGAGCAACAGACGUGAUGAUCCCGAUCGGUCCACUCCAAUCUGCGUUCUUCGUUUCCUCAAUCUGCAAAUUUAUUCCCGAUAAUGUGAGCUUUCUUGACCCAAAUUUCACAUUGAGGCGAUACAAUUGCACUCAAAUACAUAUAUAUGCGCAAGAGGAUAAGACAAAUAACCAUCAACAUGAGUAGCUACCAGUAUUGGGACAGGAGAAGAUGUGUACCAUGUGAGCCGAUGCAUCAUAACCAAGCAAUGAGUAUUGGCUCGUUAGAAGCCCCACAGCUAGAAUGUAGGCCUUGUCAUGGAUCCCCAUGUCAUUGUCCGUGUUGAAAUGUGUAAAGAUGAACUCAACACUCGCUCUUUCCUUGGCAACAACCGGAAUCAUGAUCACCAGGACAAAGGCACCUAACAUAUUAACAUAUGCUAAGUUCAAGAACAAUAAGUUGAUCAAUAAUCACAUAGUCAUAUGUUCAAAUGCAUCUUCUAAAGAAGAAAAAAAGACUCUCUCGACCUCUGCAUCGAUUGAUGCCAAAUGUCGUAACCCUCAGAAUGAUUAUAUACCUGCAGUGUUCCAAAAUGCACCGAGGUGGCCGAACCAGGACAACCACCGGAUGGGGAGGCUAUUGAUGAGCCCGUGCAGGAUGAGGAGGGAGCCGUGGAUGGCCAAAACAACGUACUUGGAGGCCAUGUAGCCACCGCCGUUGGCUCCACCGGUGCCAAGCAAGAUGAUCACUUGGACGAGCUGCGCCAAUGAGAAGUCCGUGCUCGUGGUGAGAGCCCACUAGAAGAGUUUAGAAAAGAGAUUGGAUUAUUAGGAAGUUUGUCAUGUGGGUGCACCAUAUCCGCUUUGAACCAAAUAGACCACCAACAUGUUUGAGCAUACCUGGCCCACAAGGUUGAACCUGCAAAAGGUAAAAUGGAACAUAAAAUAAAACAUAGACCACCAGCGUGAUUGCGGUAACACAAAAAGUGGAAAUAAAUAAUGAAUAUUGUUUGUUAAACCAUAUCACGUCGGCUCGAGCUUUUGAAUGGACAUGCAAUUCAAUAUCGCGUAUGCUAUAUGUAGGUUGUCUGCAUUUUGAAUUCGGAUCAGUUGAUUCGGGGGAGAAUGGAGGUGUAGAUUCGAGGCCGAGCCGGAGACAAACGCAGCAGCGGUGUUGCUAGUGGAGGGGAGUCAGAGGUUGGUGGGUCGGAAUGAGGGGGAUGGCGAUAAUUCUAAAUGCACGGAAAACUACGGACAUUUUACGGGCCUCUCCACACUAAUUACCUCCCCCCCUGAUUUUCACCGAGGUGGGGCCUGCCUCACUCUCUUAUCUCCAAUAAAAAACUGCCAGCUAGCAUCAUUCCGCAAAGAGUCAAUUACACCGGUGGUGAUAGAACUUGACGCAAAUGGUCACUUUAGUGCUGCAACUUGUGGCAUACAUCGAAGUGGUCCAAAAACUUGACUCGGACGUGCAAAUACGGUGCUAAUCGUGUUUGUAUACACCCACGACGCUGACGAGGCAUGCUAGCGUGGCAUGGGGCCUGUUUGUCAGUGACCCAACAAUGAAGACAAGGCGUGUGGCAUGCUUUUUUGUAUGAAACCCCCUCGUUUUUUUUUUCAUAGAAAAGCUGCUGACAACCGGUCCCAGCUAUUUGCAGCACAAAUUUUAAUUGAAUGGAAAAAAAGGUAUGCUCAGGUUUCAAACCCAAGCAACCUCAAGUUCCCUGCUCGGAAAGUUAGCCAGCCAACCCAUUCACCAUUCAUGUACAUUAAGGAAACACAGGCUAUAUUUUUGAGAAAAAAAAAAGAAACACAAUCUAUAUAUCCUCAGUUGAAUAACAAAAAAUAGGAAAACAUCGUAAAAAUGAUGCAGCCGCGGAGACUCGAACCCUGAGCAUACCGUUAGUUUUUUUAACAUUUCCAAAAUGUUAGUUUUUUCUGAAUUUUUAUUAAAAAAUGGAAUUAUAGUUUUAAAUAAUAUAGAUAAAAAGAGAAAAUAUUUAAAAUAAUAUGUAGGUUAUUAUAGUUAUAAUUUAAAUAUAUUUUUACAAACUGCAAAAAAAAAUAGUAACAUAUUAAAAAUGGGCCACACGAACUGACAAGCUGAUGUCAGUUUUGGCCCAUGAUAGCAGCGGACACGUUAAAUUGGAGGUCGCUAGUUCGCCUUGUCAGUUUUGGCACUAUUUUUCCGUUCAAUUAUUAUUUUUGCUGCUGACAGCUGGGACCCGCCUAUCAGGGUCUUUUUGUGAAAAAAAUAAAAGACAAUGGCUUUCUAGGAAAAAAAGAAAAAUACACACGCCUUGUCUUCAUUGUUUGGUCACUAACAACGGGCCCCACGCCAUGCUGGCAUGCCUCGUCAGUGAUGCGGGCAUAUACAAACAUGAUUAGCAUCGUAUUUGCACACCCGAGCCAAGUUUUUGCACCAGUUCAAUGUAUGCCACAAGUUCUAGCACUAAAGUGACCGUUUACACCAAGUCCUAACACCACCGGUGUAAUUGACUCUUCCGCAAACUCUGUAAACUCUGUCCAUCGUUGUAGCAUUGCUCGGGGGAAGGGCGGCGCCCAAGAAGAAGGUGUAGGGGUUAUAGGGAUGCACAUUCGAUAUUGUAUUGAGAUAUACUGAUUGAUUGAUAUUUUAUAUUUAAAAAAAAACCUCAGAGAUAUCAUCGACGAAGCUACCAAAUCAUGUACACUAGUUUCCAUGACUCCAUGCCAAUAAUCCCAAAAAUAGCCUUCUAAAACUGAUAAAAAAAUCUCAACUAAGGUAAGAGAGUGCACACAGUCACACGCCGUCUGCUCGAGCUUUUGGCAUGCAAUUCCAAAUUGUAUUGAGAUAUUGUCGACCAAAUUACCAAAUCAUAUACUAGUAUGGUACCAUGUCAAUAAUCUGAAAAUAGUCUUCAAAAAAUGAUCAGAAAAUCUCAUGAUGAUCAAACUAAGGUAAGAGAGUACACACACCAGCCGGUGAUCCAGGAAGCAAGAGGCGCCCACUUGUCGCCGGCGAGCUUGGCGCUCCAGUAGUAGAGCCCGCCGGAGGUCGGGUACGCCGAGCAGAUCUCGGCCAUGGACAGCGCGACGCAGCCGUUGAAGAAGGCCACGACCAGCCAGCCGAGGGUCAUGGACGCCGGUCCGCCGUACCUCAGCCCAGCGUUGUACGUGGUGGUGACGCCGGCCAUCACGCAGAUGAUGGAAAAGGAGAAGGCGAAGUUGGAGACCACGCCGAGCCCGCGCUUGAGCUCCUGCUUGUAGCCGAGCUGGCGCAGCCGGGCUCGGUCCGCGUCGUCGCCGGCGGCCACGCCCGCCGCGCCGGAGCGCUGCGCGGCCAUCGACUGUACGUCUGUACCCACCUCCUCUGUGUCCUUGUGUCGUCUGUUGUUUACCGUGGAGCUUUUCACAGAUGGUUAUUGGUGUAGGAUGCCGGAGUCGACAAGAACCCGUCGUUGGACCAUGCGGGCAUGCGACAUUGUCGACGAAGGGGAAGUAGUUUAUUAUGUUUGCGAUUGCCGCGUAGCGCAGCUGCGCAAGGGUAAACAAUCGGCGUUGGAUGCAGACAAUUUGACUGUAUUUCUGACAUGAUGAUUGAUAGGGAGUGGGUCGGACGGACAAGAUAGCAAAAGGCGGGUGCGCUCGACGGCGGUGGCGUUCGUCCCGGUGACGGUGGCGUUCAACGUUCGACGUCGGGGACAGCGCCGGCGAGUCCGCGGCCGUGAGGUUGACGGCGGCGAGGUCGGAAGGCGAUUAUUCCGCCUGUGUUCUGUUGGCUCUUGCGAAGUUCAGAAAAUCAGGCCGCGCACUCCGCUCUCUGUUCUUGAGAAAUUCCCCGGUUUAUUUGCCACGGCAUCGUCUCACAUUCAUUCUCGUGCUGGAUUCCCCAGAGAUUGCAGGCCAUGGAAAUCAAAGGCAAACGUUCUCCGGUUUAUUUGCCACGGCGUCGUCUCACAUUCAUUCUCGUGCUGGAUUCCCCGGAGAUUGCAGGCCAUGGAGAUCAAAGGCAAACGUUCCCCGGUUUGUUUGCCNNNNNNNNNNNNNNNNNNNNNNNNNNNNNNNNNNNNUUUGCCACGGCGUCGUCUCACAUUCAUUCUCGUGCUGGAUUCCCCGGAGAUUGCAGGCCAUGGAGAUCAAAGGCAAACGUUCCCCGGUUUAUUUGCCACGGCGUCGUCUCACAUUCAUUCUCGUGCUGGAUUCCCCGGAGAUUGCAGGCCAUGGAGAUCAAAGGCAAACGUGUGGAAACCUGUCUGGAGACUGAAUAUUGCAACGAAAAACAGAGUGAAGAGCACUCGGCUCAAGAUAACGCUUUUGCUGCAGAAUGACCAUCUCUGGAAACUGAAAAGAACUACUGCAGACUACAACUUUUUCAACAGCUUAUUUUCACUGCAGGCGUUUUUGCGCAACCAGCAGCUCAAAAGAAUUGAAAAGAAAGAUAAUCACUUUGUUCUCAAUGAAGAACAAACAAUCCAUAUAUUAAUUUUAGAAGAAAAAAAAAAGGUUGCUGUAAGGGGCCGCGCCCCCAAUUUCAUUUAUCAUCAUGAAACUGCUAAAACAUCCAACAUAUCACCCCCAAAGUUCUCAGAGUAUACAUCACAUAACUGCAGCGAAAGAAAACUCAGCAUUCCCUCCCACUGAGGAAACUACGACUAGCACGACGAUCAUCACACAUAUCUCGUAAAUUAAGAUGAUGAAUCUUGCAUUGCAACAACUCACACUGAAUAUCUAUCCAGCAUACAUAUGCUUUGUGUGUGCCUAUUUGUAAUAAUAAAAUAUACAAAUGUUUCUGGAAUGCCACCUACCUAUGUGCAAACAAUGUGUUCAGUCUUCUUCCACUGAACCCUCCCCUCUCCUGUAGAUCGCCACACAAGUAAAAUUUGCUUGUCGUCUGCACUUCCGUUGGUACCCAGUCCACCAUAGACAGGACUUGUUUGGUGGCAACAAGCAAGGCCGGUUUAUGCUGGCUGAAUGGAUGCGUUAUCAAAGGGCAGGCCAGUCAUCA
rnacentral:lncRNA from 1 species